CGAUGAUCCCAGCUUGCUGGGGGAUUAGUGGCGAACGGGUGAGUAACACGUGAGUAACCUGCCCUUGACUCUGGGAUAAGCCUGGGAAACUGGGUCUAAUACCGGAUACGACCAUCUGGCGCAUGUCAUGGUGGUGGAAAGCUUUUGUGGUUUUGGAUGGACUCGCGGCCUAUCAGCUUGUUGGUGGGGUAAUGGCCUACCAAGGCGACGACGGGUAGCCGGCCUGAGAGGGUGACCGGCCACACUGGGACUGAGACACGGCCCAGACUCCUACGGGAGGCAGCAGUGGGGAAUAUUGCACAAUGGGCGAAAGCCUGAUGCAGCGACGCCGCGUGAGGGAUGACGGCCUUCGGGUUGUAAACCUCUUUCAGUAGGGAAGAAGCGAAAGUGACGGUACCUGCAGAAGAAGCGCCGGCUAACUACGUGCCAGCAGCCGCGGUAAUACGUAGGGCGCAAGCGUUAUCCGGAAUUAUUGGGCGUAAAGAGCUCGUAGGCGGUUUGUCGCGUCUGCUGUGAAAGACCGGGGCUCAACUCCGGUUCUGCAGUGGGUACGGGCAGACUAGAGUGCAGUAGGGGAGACUGGAAUUCCUGGUGUAGCGGUGAAAUGCGCAGAUAUCAGGAGGAACACCGAUGGCGAAGGCAGGUCUCUGGGCUGUAACUGACGCUGAGGAGCGAAAGCAU
rnacentral:rRNA from 1 species